rnacentral:rRNA from 1 species
GAUGAACGCUGGCGGCGUGCCUAAUACAUGCAAGUCGAGCGAACGGACGAGAAGCUUGCUUCUCUGAUGUUAGCAGCGGACGGGUGAGUAACACGUGGAUAACCUACCUAUAAGACUGGGAUAACUUCGGGAAACCGGAGCUAAUACCGGAUAAUAUUUUGAACCGCAUGGUUCAAAAGUGAAAGACGGUCUUGCUGUCACUUAUAGAUGGAUCCGCGCUGCAUUAGCUAGUUGGUAAGGUAACGGCUUACCAAGGCAACGAUGCAUAGCCGACCUGAGAGGGUGAUCGGCCACACUGGAACUGAGACACGGUCCAGACUCCUACGGGAGGCAGCAGUAGGGAAUCUUCCGCAAUGGGCGAAAGCCUGACGGAGCAACGCCGCGUGAGUGAUGAAGGUCUUCGGAUCGUAAAACUCUGUUAUUCGGGAAGAACAUAUGUGUAAGUAACUGUGCACAUCUUGACGGUACCUAAUCAGAAAGCCACGGCUAACUACGUG